rnacentral:lncRNA from 1 species
AAUGAAUUUCCUAAUUCUCCAGGUGGGCACCUGAUGUUGACUUAAAACCUGAAAUGAAUUCUCUCGUUCUCCAGGUGGGUGCCUGAUGACUUACACUUGAAAUGAAUUCCCUCGUUCUCCAGGUGGGCGCCUGAUGACUUAAAACUUGAAAUAAAUUCCCUCAUUCUCCAGGUGGGCGCCUGCUGACUUAAAAACUUAAAAUAAAUUCCCUCAUUUUCCAGGUGGGUGCCUGAUGACUUAAAACUUGAAAUAAAUUCUCUCGUUCUCCAGGUGGGCGCCUAAUGACUUAAACUUGAAAUGAAUUCCCUCAUUCUCCAGGUGGGCGCCUGAUACUACAACAAAAUAGACAAAACAAAAGAAACUUUUCUACCCCAGUUUGCACUAGGAAGAUUUGUGAAUUGUUAGCAGAACUAUAAAUCACUUAUGUUAUUGAUGAAUGAUGCAAUGAUGAGAGUAAAAUUAAAGACUCGACUAGGAUGUGCAUCUCCUAAAGAAAUAAAAAUCUGAAAAACCUAAACUAGGAAGUGUGUCUCCUAAAUUUGAGAUUGAGCUUGCGGAAAAUGAGGGAAAAUGAGAUUGACCCUUUCUUUUUUUAAAAAAAAAAAAAAUCCAGACUUCCCUUUUUUCUUAACUUAUUAUCCUAGGAGAAAAUUCAUUAGACUAGAUUUUAAUCUUAGGAGAAAAAUUCAUCAGACUAAGAUUUUGAUCCUAGGAGAAAAUUCAUCAAACUAAGUCUUUUUUCUUUUUCUUUUUUUGGUAUCUUAGGAGAAAGAUUCAUCAGACUAAGAUUUCGAUCCUAGGAGAAAAUUUAUCAGACUAGGUCUCUUUUUUAUUAUCUUAGGAGAAAGAUUCAUCAGACUAAAACGUUUAUCCUAGGAGAAUGAUUCAUCAGACUAAGACUUCGAUCCUAGGAGAAAGUUCAUCAGACUAGGUCU